rnacentral:rRNA from 1 species
UACGUAGGGGGCUAGCGUUGUCCGGAAUCAUUGGGCGUAAAGGGCGCGUAGGCGGCCUGUUAAGUCGAACGUGAAAUCCCCGGGCUCAACCCGGGAACUGCGUCCGAAACUGGCAGGCUCGAAUUCGGGAGAGGGAUGCGGAAUUCCAGGUGUAGCGGUGAAAUGCGUAGAUAUCUGGAGGAACAUCGGUGGCGAAGGCGGCAUCCUGGACCGAUAUUGACGCUGAGGCGCGAAAGCCAGGGGAGCAAACGGG